GACGAACGCUGGCGGCGUGCUUAACACAUGCAAGUCGAACGGAAAGGCCCUGCUUUUGUGGGGUGCUCGAGUGGCGAACGGGUGAGUAACACGUGAGUAACCUGCCCUUGACUUUGGGAUAACUUCAGGAAACUGGGGCUAAUACCGGAUAGGAGCUCCUGCUGCAUGGUGGGGGUUGGAAAGUUUCGGCGGUUCGGGAUGGACUCGCGGCUUAUCAGCUUGUUGGUGGGGUAGUUGCUUACCAAGGCUUUGACGGGUAGCCGGCCUGGGAGGGUGGACGGCCACAUUGGGACUAAGAUAGGGCGCAGACUGCUACGGGAGGCAGCAGUGGGGAAUAUUGCGCAACGGGAGGAAGCGUGAGACAAUGACGCCGCGUGCGGGAAGACGGCUUUCGGGUUGUGAACCGAUUUGGCCGGUGACGAAGCGUGAGUGACGGUAAUGGAUAAAGAAGCACCGGCUAACUACGUG
rnacentral:rRNA from 1 species